UACGAAGGGGGCUAGCGUUGUUCGGAAUCACUGGGCGUAAAGCGCACGUAGGCGGACUUUCAAGUCAGGGGUGAAAUCCCGGGGCUCAACCCCGGAACUGCCCUUGAAACUGCAGUGCUAGAAUUCUGGAGAGGCGAGUGGAAUUCCGAGUGUAGAGGUGAAAUUCGUAGAUAUUCGGAAGAACACCAGUGGCGAAGGCGGCUCGCUGGACAGACAUUGACGCUGAGGUGCGAAAGCGUGGGGAGCAAACAGGG
rnacentral:rRNA from 1 species